rnacentral:rRNA from 2 species
GACAGAGGGUGCAAACGUUGUUCGGAAUUACUGGGCGUAAAGCGCGUGUAGGCGGCUGCGCAAGUCGGAUGUGAAAUCCCGUGGCUCAACCACGGAAGUGCACCCGAAACUGCGUAGCUCGAGUCUCGGAGAGGAAGGUGGAAUGCUUGGUGUAGAGGUGAAAUUCGUAGAUAUCAAGCGGAACACCGGUGGCGAAGGCGGCCUUCUGGACGAUGACUGACGCUGAGACGCGAAAGCGUGGGGAGCAAACAGG